CAGUCGCCACGGGAAUACGAAGGGUGCAAGCGUUACUCGGAAUUACUGGGCGUAAAGCGUGCGUAGGUGGUGGUUUAAGUCCGUUGUGAAAGCCCUGGGCUCAACCUGGGAAUUGCAGUGGAUACUGGGUCACUAGAGUGUGGUAGAGGAUAGUGGAAUUUCCGGUGUAGCAGUGAAAUGCGUAGAGAUCGGAAGGAACAUCUGUGGCGAAGGCGACUAUCUGGGCCAACACUGACACUGAGGCACGAAAGCGUGGGGAGCAAACAGGAUUAGAUACCCGUGUAGUCCCUGUCUCUUAUAU
rnacentral:rRNA from 1 species